GCUAACGUGACCAUGUUUAGCAUUCCAUUGUGGUACUUUUCUAUAUUCAGUUUCUGAUUUGGGUGCAAAAACCUUUUACUUUUUGUUUAUGAUUGAUAAAGCUUUGAUUAUUAGACUAAUUGCUAUAUUGAAUUGUUUAUUUAUGUUUAAUUUAUCUUGCCAAGCUUGUUAAAAGAUCCUUACGUAUUAAUGAUGAUUAUUUGUUGUUAAUUGUUAAGUGAAUUGAGUUGUAUGAACAUCUGCUUGAUUGCUUGUCUCUUAUGAUUUUGAUGACCAUCGAGAUUAUAAGUCUAGGAAUAACGAAGGUGAAACUAGGAUUAACUUGGGAAUAAGUAAGUUAAUGUGUGAGCCUUGUUUGAUGACCAUCAACAAGAGGUUAAAUUGAAUGAUUAAUUUGAUUAACUAUAUUUACAAGUCUUGCUUGAUACGAACUGAACACUAGGAAGCAUGUUAGUUUAAUCAACUGAUCAUUGUUUAAAUUGACUUGUUUGCUAAAGGAUUAGUUAUAGUGAACGCGAAUCUAAUCAUUUUAGGAAUCGGUGAACAUGAAUAAAUGAAUUUGUGUAUGCAAUUGUCUAUGUUUUUAAGGUGUAAUUUAUCUAAACCAAAGUACCUGAAGAGAUUUGCUUUCCUGUUAGUUUAUCGAGAGUUGUUAAUUGUUAGUUUGAGAUUUAUUAAACUAUUUCUUUAUUAUUUUCGUGUGACCUGUAACCUAUAAUCAAAUAUAUUAAAUUAAUUCACCACCGUUCCCUGUGAUCGACACCCGACUUACCUAAGCUAUACUGUAAUCUGACUAGGUACACUGCCUAUAAGUGCAUAGUUAGUCUAAGUUUGUUAGGUUAUAAAUAUUAAAAUUAGUGGGUACUUUUGUGCACAUCAAGUUUUUGGCGCCGUUGCCGGGGAACGGAUUUCAAUUAAUUUAGUUUAUUUGAUUAUUCGUUAUUUGUUUUUAGUUAGUUUUUUAUUUUAUUUUUUUAGUUUUAUUUUCGUUGAUAUCAUUUCACUUGUCGGGAAGGUUUUUGUUGCUAUGUGCAGGAAUUCGUGAUCAUACACAUUGUUUGGUUUUACUUUUUGCAUGGGUUUCGAGAUUGCAAGCGAUUAGGGAAUUCUUGACUUGUUUAGUCUACUACUUUGUGUGAUUUGUCCAACUCAAUCCACGAGGCGUAGUAUAGCAAGGCGUAUCGAGGUGGUUAAGUGGAAGACCGAACUCUUGCUACUCUUGACUAGUUGGGUCGACUCUUGUUCUACUUUUUAGUUAAUGGUGCAAAGAAAACAAAGGAAAUAGUCUGACAGGUCCCGAAAGUUUUUGUUUUCACAAACCACCUCUUGCAUGCAAGGGAUUUAAUCAACAAUUGUAGCUUGAUUUCGACGAAGACGAGUGAUUGUGAUAUCCUUUUUAGUUAUUUUGUUUUUUUAGUUAUUUUAGUGAGUUUGUAUUUUUAUUUUUAGUUUGUUUAAAUUUUGUUUUCCAUGUUGAUGAUCUUGAUGUUUCAGAUCUUUGCAAAACUUUUACCCUUCAGAUGCUUUCAGAAAUUUCAAUAAUUAAGGUCGAAUGUUGAUUUGUCAUGAGAGAAAAAACCAUGUGAGAGUUUGAAGUUGACACUUGAGAGCCAUGACUUUCAAUAAGUGUGGGGUGCGCGUCGAUAUUUGGAGGGAUUAUUAUUUCGAAGAGUGGCGUUUCUAACUAUACAUUGAUUCCCAUGGCAUGGAUAAGUUGUUCCCACACCAUGGAGUUUUAUUUUGACGCAAUGUAGAAGUAUCAUCCCGGCUGCCAUGACAUGGUUGACACUUUCCUAUGUCGUGGGGGAGUUUUUCAUCACGAGAGGAGGCUGCUAUUCUACAUACCACGACGUGACCACCACUUACUACGUCGUGGCCAUGCUAUUAUUCGCGAUAUGGAUUUUUCCUCACUCGACGACACGACGUGGUUGACACUUUCCCACGUCAUGGUCACUAUAUAUUGCUUUAGCUUGCAAUCGUUUGCACCACAUUUCAGAAGUCAAUGUUCUUUUGUAUUUUCCGGCACAUUCAGAAGCAGCAGUUCCAGUUUCCAGUCUUCCAGCAAUUUUCAGAGCAGCUUUUAGCAGCCCCAUUCGAUCUCGUCACUACUACCCCAGUGGAGUCUGUUUCUUUUUCUUCGUUUUUAUUAUUUUUAUGAGGUUAAUUAGUUUUAUGCAUACAAUGAGGGCAUUGUGUGAAAUAAGUGUGGGGUGGGGGGUUGAAAAAGCAAUUUAAAUUGAAAAAUUAAAAAAUAGUUAAACAUUUAUAAACUUGAAAUAAUAGUUUAAUUUAGAAAAUCUAGUGAUAAUUUAAAAUUUUGCUAAUAUUAUAUGGGAUGAUCCAAUGAGAACCCAAAUGUUUACCUGAGCCAACACAUGUUAUAGUGUAUUUGUGGCUUCCCAUUUCCUAGUGAAAAGUCAUGAGAUAUGAAAGGUAAUCUAGUAGUUUAUAUGACAUAAUAUGUUUUGCAGCCUAAACCAGAAAUCUAUCCAGGAGAGCUUAUGUAGUCAUUGCACUUAGACUAAUACCUUAACCAAUAAGGGUUGAAGUUAAGCUCCUUGCUUAAGCAUGUAGGGUAUGAGCGAAAAAAGUGAGAUAUAGAAAAAAGAGAGAGAAAUUACAAAAAAAGUUGUUUGAAUUUUGGAGCUAUAAAAGUAUGAAGAUCAAAAGAUCAAAAUUCUGAAGAAAUCCAAAAAGUUGAAGAUACCAAAAAUCAAACAAAAAGGUGGUGAAUUCAAAGAAAGCAAAUAUCAAAUAUUAAAGAAGAGAUUAAUUCCAAGAGCUUCAUUUCUGGUAUCAAAGUGUAAUUCUUUCUAGACUUUAUGUAUGCUUGGUAGUUUAACCAAAAAUACCUUGAGGUUAAGAAAUAUAUUUGAGGAUUGAUUCGGAGUGUUGCAAAAAUGAAUGCCGUAUAAGCUAAGGGGUGAAGGUUCAUAAAGAUUGUGAGUAUUUAGGAGUGGAAAGUUCUUAUGAAUUAUAGACACAAAUACAUGCAUUGUGGUCUUGGGAUAAUGGAUGGGUUUGAAAUGGAAUAUUCUUUGCGAUAUUGGUGAAAUAAUAAAAGUCAGUUUGCUUGGGGGCAAGCAAAGGCUAAGUGUGGGGUAUUUUGAUAUGUGUGUUUUUAUAUAUAUUUAUGUGAAACAUAUCUUAAUAUUUUAGCCUNUUUUAGCCUUUAUUAUUAUUAUUUAGAAUUAAAAAAGACUUAAUAUGCUUUGAAAUAUUUAAUUACAGUAAAAAUGGGAGUUGGAAUGCAAAAGGAAGAGAACGGAGCUGAAAAGAUGCAAAAAGGAUAUUGCUGGCAGAUUGACCCCUCUUCAGUGUUUCAGGUAUAUCUGAUGAGUCACAAAUCCAAUUGACGAGAUUCAAAAUGUUCUGAAAACUAGACGGAAUUUCCUACGACUUAUGUGAUAGGGACUUUUGGCUAAUUCGACACUUAUCUUAUCCAAACUCGGCCUUGAAGAUGAAGCAUAAAAGCUGGACAGAAAUUCCCUCCAAGUUACUUAUUCCCCAAGCACCACUUAUCUUAUUUUUAUUUGCUUAAUCCCUAAGCCACAAUUAGUUUCCUUAUUACAAUCCAACUCUAAUAUUCCAUAUAAAUUCCAUCUCCAUCAACUAUAAAUACCUCAUAUCAUUCCACCAUUUUGAAUAAUCUAUGAUAUUCCACUUCGACUUGUGCAACAAGAAAACUUCAUAGUUGCCGUUUUGAGGGUCUAGGAGGCGGCCGGAAGGCCGUUAAGCUAACGGGAGCGGAGAUCGGAAGGAUUGGAGAGCGGAUACAUGUCGGUAAUCAUAUGGGUUGUUAACGUGACCAUGUUUAGCAUUCCAUUGUGUUACUAUUCUGUAUUUAGUUUCUGAUUUGGGUGUAAAAACCUUUUACUUUGCGUUUAUGAUUGAAUGAAGCUUUGAUUAUUAGACUAAUUGCUAUAUUGAAUUAUUUGUUUAUGUUUAAUUUAUCUUGCCAAGCUUGUUAGAAGAUCCUUACGUAUUAAUGAUAAUUAUUUGCUGUUAAUUAUUAAGUAAAUUGAGUUGUAUGAACAUCUGCUUGAUUGCUUGUUGCUUAUGAUUUUGAUGACCAUCGAGAUUAUAAGUCUAAGAAUAACGAAUGUGAAACUAGGAUUAACUUGGGAAUAAGUAAGUUAAUGUGUGAGCCUUGUUUGAUGACCAUCAACAAGAGGUUAAAUUGAAUUAGUAAUUUGAUUAACUAUAUUUACAAGUCUUGCUUGAUACGAACUGAACACUAGGAAGCAUGUUAGUUUAAUCAACUGAUCACUGUUUAAAUUGACUUGUUUGCUAAAGGAUUAGUUAUAGUGAACGCGAAUCUAAUCAUUUUAGGAAUCGGUGAACAUGAAUAAAUGAAUUUGUGUAUGCAAUUGUCUAUGUUUUUAAGGUGUAAUUUAUUUAAACCAAAGUACCUGAAGAGAUUUGCUUUCCUGUUAGUUUAUUGAGAGUUGUUAAUUGUUAGUUUGAGAUUUAUUAAACUAUUUCUUUAUUAUUUUCGUGUGACCUGUAACCUAUAAUCAAAUAUAUUAAAUUAAUUCAC
rnacentral:lncRNA from 1 species